UUUCAGCAACGGAUCUCUUGGCUCUCGCAUCGAUGAAGAACGCAGCGAAAUGCGAUAAGUAAUGUGAAUUGCAGAAUUCAGUGAAUCAUCGAAUCUUUGAACGCACCUUGCGCCUCUUGGUAUUCCGAGAGGCAUGCCUGUUUGAGUGUCAUUAAAUUCUC
rnacentral:rRNA from 2 species